ACGAUAAAUUAACAGAUGACCUGAGUGACAGUGACAAAGAGGAGUCCGAGAAGGAGUCAAAAUCAUGUCUAAGCAAAGCAUGCAUACCCAUCACGGCCACAGAGACCUUCUGCAAGACACACUCCAAAAUAAUCAAAUACAUUGCUUUGGGAAUACUUGCUGCAGGUUAUUUGGCAUACUUCAUUGCUGCAUGUUAUUUAAACUUCCAGAGGGCAGUUGCUUUGGUUGUCCUCACUUGUCUGUGCGUGUUUAUCAUCGUGUGUGAAUUGGUGAAUAAGUUCAAGGGUGACAGCAUAAGGAGGCUUUUCAAGCCU